GAUGACAGGAGCUUGCUCCUGAAUUCAGCGGCGGACGGGUGAGUAAUGCCUAGGAAUCUGCCUGGUAGUGGGGGACAACGUUUCGAAAGGAACGCUAAUACCGCAUACGUCCUACGGGAGAAAGCAGGGGACCUUCGGGCCUUGCGCUAUCAGAUGAGCCUAGGUCGGAUUAGCUAGUUGGUGAGGUAAUGGCUCACCAAGGCGACGAUCCGUAACUGGUCUGAGAGGAUGAUCAGUCACACUGGAACUGAGACACGGUCCAGACUCCUACGGGAGGCAGCAGUGGGGAAUAUUGGACAAUGGGCGAAAGCCUGAUCCAGCCAUGCCGCGUGUGUGAAGAAGGUCUUCGGAUUGUAAAGCACUUUAAGUUGGGAGGAAGGGCAGUAACUUAAUACGUUGCUGUUUUGACGUUACCGACAGAAUAAGCACCGGCUAACUCUGUGCCAGCAGCCGCGGUAAUACAGAGGGUGCAAGCGUUAAUCGGAAUUACUGGGCGUAAAGCGCGCGUAGGUGGUUUGUUAAGUUGGAUGUGAAAGCCCCGGGCUCAACCUGGGAACUGCAUUCAAAACUGACAAGCUAGAGUAUGGUAGAGGGUGGUGGAAUUUCCUGUGUAGCGGUGAAAUGCGUAGAUAUAGGAAGGAACACCAGUGGCGAAGGCGACCACCUGGACUGAUACUGACACUGAGGUGCGAAAGCGUGGGAGCAAACAGGAUUAGAUACCUUGGUAGUCCACGCCGUAACGAUGUCAACUAGCCGUUGGGAGCCUGAGCUCUUAGUGGCGCAGCUAACGCAUUAAGUUGACCGCUGGGGAGUACCGCCGCAAGGUUACUCUAUGAAUU
rnacentral:rRNA from 1 species